ACGACGCUGGCGGCGUGCCUAACACAUUCAAGUCGAACGGUGACGGGACUUCGGUCCCUGAUCAGUGGCGGACGGGUGAGUAACGCGUGAGCAACCUGCCUUUGCGUUGGGGGAUAACAACUGGAAACGGUUGCUAAUACCGCAUAAUGUAGCGACUUCGCAUGAAGAUGCUACCAAAGAUUUAUUGAGACAAAGAUGGGCUCGCGUCUGAUUAGAUAGUUGGUGAGGUAACGGCUCACCAAGUCGACGAUCAGUAGCCGGACUGAGAGGUUGAACGGCCACAUUGGAACUGAGAUACGGUCCAGACUCCUACGGGAGGCAGCAGGUGGGGAAUAUUGGGCAAUGGGCGAAAGCCUGACCCAGCGACGCCGCGUGAGGGAAGAAGGUCUUCGGAUUGUAAACCUCUGUUGAUAGGGAAGAAGAAAGUGACGGUACCUAUCGAGGAAGUCACGGCUAACUACGUG
rnacentral:rRNA from 1 species